rnacentral:rRNA from 1 species
GACGAACGCUGGCGGCGUGCCUAAUACAUGCAAGUCGAACGCACAGUUUAUACCGUAGCUUGCUACACCAUAAACUGUGAGUUGCGAACGGGUGAGUAACGCGUAGGUAACCUGCCUGGUAGCGGGGGAUAACUAUUGGAAACGAUAGCUAAUACCGCAUAAUAUUGAUUAUUGCAUGAUAAUUGAUUGAAAGAUGCUAUUGCAUCACUACCAGAUGGACCUGCGUUGUAUUAGCUAGUAGGUGAGGUAACGGCUCACCUAGGCGACGAUACAUAGCCGACCUGGGAGGGUGAUCGGCCACACUGGGACUGAGACACGGCCCAGACUCCUACGGGAGGCAGCAGUAGGGAAUCUUCGGCAAUGGACGAAAGUCUGACCGAGCAACGCCGCGUGAGUGAAGAAGGUUUUCGGAUCGUAAAGCUCUGUUGUAAGAGAAGAACGGGUGUGAGAGUGGAAAGUUCACACUGUGACGGUAUCUUACCAGAAAGGGACGGCUAACUACGUG